rnacentral:misc_RNA from 1 species
UGUGGGAGCGAGCCUGCUCGCGAUAACGGUGUGUCAGGCACAUCGAUGCAGCUGAUCCACCGCUAUCGCGAGCAGGCUCGCUCCCACA